rnacentral:tRNA from 1 species
AGUAGCUCAGUUGGAUAGAGCAACGGCCUUCUAAGCCGUGGGUCGGGGGUUCGAAUCCCUUCAGG